GCGUAGGAAUCUACCUAGUAGUGGGGGACAACAGUCGGAAACGACUGCUAAUACCGCAUACGUCCUAAGGGAGAAAGGCCGAGAUCUUCGGACCGGUCGCUAUUAGAGGAGCCUGCGUAAGAUUAGCUAGUUGGUGGGGUAAAGGCCUACCAAGGCGACGAUCUUUAGCUGGUCUGAGAGGAUGAUCAGUCACACUGGAACUGAGACACGGUCCAGACUCCUACGGGAGGCAGCAGUGGGGAAUAUUGCGCAAUGGAGGAAACUCUGACGCAGCCAUGCCGCGUGUGUGAAGAAGGCCCU
rnacentral:rRNA from 1 species